ACUUCCCACUAAGGUCAACGUGUUACAUGACUGAGACACAAGAACCCCAGCUAGCAGGGAACAUUCCCACAACAUUGGCUCGCAUUCCCUACAACUUCUAAGUAUGAUUUAAAGAAAACAUUUAAGAAUAUCCUGGUUGGGGGUGGAUCGGGCUGAUGAGCCACACCAGGCCCGCUUUAGUGGGCUGAAACACGGGGGAGAAUCAUCAGGAAAAAAGUACCGCAUUUGGUCAUCAACACCUACAGUAUGUGUAGCUUUUGCUGACAAGGGAUCUCUUGUGGUCGUGUGAAUAAUGACUGUUGUCUCAUUUUCAGGAGGAGGUUAGAGUGAGUGGUUGGAUGUACAAAGCCUCUGGGUUUAACACUCAACACCACAGUUUGCAUCCCGUCCCCUACAAACAGUCAGUGGUUUCUUCUAACCACAACUUAAAGGUGCCCUGUGGAGUUUUCUUGUAAACAAACAAUGUCAUACACAGCAACAGUGACACGGAUCAUGCAUAGAGAUAAUUGCUCUAUGCUCUAUAAUCACUCGUGUGCACAUGCAUGCGCGUCCUCAUGGCGCUACUAGUGGUCAAAAACUCCUAAA